UACGUAGGGUGCGAGCGUUAAUCGGAAUUACUGGGCGUAAAGCGUGCGCAGGCGGUUUUGUAAGCCAGAUGUGAAAGCCCAGGGCUUAACCCUGGGUCUGCGGUGGGUACGGGCAGACUAGAGUGUGGUAGGGGAGACUGGAAUUCCUGGUGUAGCGGUGAAAUGCGCAGAUAUCAGGAGGAACACCGGUGGCGAAGGCGGGGUCUCUGGGCAACAACUGACGCUGAGGAGCGAAAGCGUGGGGAGCGAACAGG
rnacentral:rRNA from 1 species